GAAAAUUUGCCAUAGUUUUCAAAUGGACAUUGUAAAAAAAUGUUAAAUUUAACGUAGGCUAAUCGCCAUGCAACAAUCGCGUAAAGAGAGACAGUAAAUAUUGCCUCUAUUAAAAGGGGCAGAGAACAUUCGUGUUUAGUUUGUUAUUACAAAGGCGGUCUCGGGCUACCGGUCUGCUUGCUGCUCUGAAUUGCACGCUAAAUUACCAAUUAAUGGUACCCGAUAAUUAUGUGGUAAAUACUAAAAGGGCACAAAAUCUUCGCCGAGGACAAUCAGCCGCUCCCGGCACGUGGAGGCGUUGCGCGGCGCCGAACGACUCACAAUCCGCAAACAGUUGCUUAGCUUUCUAUGCCUUAUCAAUUGGCUGAGCGACUGCGUGCACCGCUGCGCGGAACGACAAUACCCGCUGAACCACCUGCUGAAAAAUGGGACACACUUCACCUAGGCGGCCGCGACAGAGAAAGCGUUCCAAGAACUAAAAAAGGCGCCACAACAGUCGUUGUCACUUCAACCAGCCAUUCAUCUUUCAAACAGAUCCCAGCAGCAAAGGAAUGGUCGUCGUCCGAUACUAAGAUGCACCCGAGAGGAGGCGGAUCAUCAGUUAGGCAAGGGCGAAACUGACCCCAGCGCAAUCUACAUACCACUUGAACGAGAAGUGCCGAACGGUGACGCGGGCGAUCAAGCGAUACCUUGAAGACCACCGGUGCCAGUUCCUCCAUCUCGGUCACGUGGGACGUGGCACUCCGGAAAUGGGGAUUCUACAUUGGACAACGCCCAUCUAGUACCCCCAAGCGAACCACGUCGAACGCCGUAACCAAUAAAUAAAGAAGGGAUUCCGGACGCACCUCAUAGCAAAGAACCGGAGCGCCUGAGUAACCAUACCACAGGAGUAACACCAAACCACGCAUUAUUAGGCGUAGAUAGUGGAAAGCUCGAGAACAACCACCCUUACUCACAGGGGAGGCGCGAGAGGGAGCAAUAUACACGGUCCACAGAAACUAAGCUCGAUACUGCCGCCACUACGCGAUCUAAAGGCCAGCCCGCAUCCAAAUUUAUCGGAAACUUGAGGGGAUUCUGGUGAGAAAUUGAAACUGAACUCGAGAGGAAAUUAAAGAGGAACGAGUUGUAUGGAACUUUAUGAAACCGUCAGAUGAAUUUGAAGGGAAUUUGGUGGAAGUUGAAGGACUUGAACGAACCCCGCACCCAAUAUCCUGCGCUCUCAUCGAUCCUGUGUAUAAUUGUAUAUUGUUGCAGGUGUUUAUAGUGUACUAUUUUAUAGUUGUAAAUAGUUGCCCUUUGGGCGACCCCCACGUUCAAUCCGAUAACAUCCGAGAUUCAAUUUGGAAGUGAAAUUGACCUUCGAAUUGUGCUAUGCACGGACCGGUUAUAGAAUCCUCUCCGAUAUUCCGCCGUAGAAACAUUCUUGCUUUAUUCUUUGCCAAUUCUACGUAAAUCUUCGUCCGCAGCUUCACCGGCGCUAAUUUUCCGCUGCGUAACGCCGAUUGACGAAUGCUGCUUUCCCACUAUUUACUCUCAUAUUUAUAGGUAUCGCCUUUGUAAAAUGUGACCCAAGAAAACAAUAAACGCUUUAUCUUA